GAUGGCAACACCAGAGCUAGCUGCUGGGCUUCCUCUUUGCCUCGCUUGCUGGGCAAUGACAGAGCCUUGGACUUCCAGCUGCUGACAGGGUCACCAAGGGCCACCCAACUGCUCUGCCUCCACUCCCAGAUGUCUCAACCUGAACCUAUAGCAGCCCAGGGAUGCUGGGUCUUGCCUCACAGAGAACAAUCCAGAGAAGAACCUGGGUUUUAGGGUCUCUCCUCCAACUCUUCGAGAAAUUGUUCUCUAAAAGUCUGGGACCUGCCUGAUGCCAGCGAAUCCUCAGAUGACAGCAGGCUCCAGGGCCUCCUGUCUGCAGCAGAGCGGAGUGGGUGGCUGAGAGGAGUGGAAUAAGUGAUCAGAGUUUGAAAACUUGUUUCUGGGGUCCCUGAGCUCGAAUGUGAAGCCAAGUGGAUGGCUGAGAGGGAGAGAAGAAUGUGCUCCCGCGGAGGGAGCUCCGUGGAUGUGAGGAAGAAGAUCCACUGUUCUGGAGGGCUCAGGGCUGGAGGGCCCAGCGGAACCUGAUUCUCUCACGCCCUGUCUCUGCCUCUCCUCUGUCCUGGGACACCCUCCACUGCCCACCUUAGCCACCUUCCCAAGCUCAACUCUCUGGAGUGUCCCUCUUUCUCCUCUCUUCCGGCCCACAGAGAAGGGCCCUUUGUCUGUGUUUGCACCCAGAGGGCCAAGAUUCUUCCUCAUUCUCAGACCGUCCCCUUUGGAGCUCCACCCAUGCACCUGAGAAGACACAGAGUGGGUUCAUUGGCAGAGUGGAGCAGGAUUCCAAAUCCAAACACUGGGUCACCCAUGAAAGCGGGGAAACCAAGAACAAGGUCUCGGGCCCAACUGGAUGAUGGGACGGACCACAGCUGGGCUUGAGGGACCCUUGGGGGCUGUUCCAAUCUUAAAGGUAGCACAGAUUCCCAUCUUUCCACUCUCAAAUGCCCACCACCCAGCCCUGGCUUCCUGGCCUCCGUCUGUCGACCUCAUCUUCUCAGCCAGCCUGUUCUAUCAGAGGUAGAGAGGGAUUGGGCCACUCACAGUCCGCAGCUGACCUAAGAGACAUUUCCAUCCUUAUCACUGAUUUACAUUGCAGCCGUGGGCCGGACUUCACCCACAUUCAGAAGGAACACAGAUCCCAGCGGUGGGGAUGCAGCGUCAGGCAGCCACCACCAAGCAGACAUUGUAUAUGGCCCCCUACUUCCUA